rnacentral:rRNA from 1 species
UACGGAGGGGGCUAGCGUUGUUCGGAAUUACUGGGCGUAAAGCGCACGUAGGCGGCUUUGUAAGUUAGAGGUGAAAGCCCGGGGCUCAACUCCGGAAUUGCCUUUAAGACUGCAUCGCUAGAAUUGUGGAGAGGUAGGUGGAAUUCCGAGUGUAGAGGUGAAAUUCGUAGAUAUUCGGAAGAACACCAGUGGCGAAGGCGCUCUACUGGACCACAACUGACACUCAGGGACGAAAGCUAGGGGAGCGAAUGGG